rnacentral:rRNA from 1 species
UACGUAGGUGGCAAGCGUUGUCCGGAAUUAUUGGGCGUAAAGCGCGCGCAGGCGGUCCUUUAAGUCUGAUGUGAAAGCCCUGGGCUCAACCUGGGAAUGGCAUUGGAAACUGGCGACCUAGAGUGCGGUAGAGGGUAGUGGAAUUCCCGGUGUAGCAGUGAAAUGCGUAGAGAUCGGGAGGAACAUCCGUGGCGAAGGCGACUACCUGGACCAGCACUGACACUGAGGCGCGAAAGCGUGGGGAGCGAACAGG